GAAUAUUUGACAAUGGGGGGAACCCUGAUCCAGCCAUGCCGCGUGUGUGAAGAAGGCCUUUUGGUUGUAAAGCACUUUAAGCAAGGCGGAGGAUACUUUAGUUAAUACCUAGCGAUAGUGGCAGGUACUCGCAGAAUAAGCCACGGCUCACUCUGUGCCAGCAGCCGCGGUAAUACAGAGGGUGCAAGCGUUAAUCGGAUUUACUGGGCGUAAAGCGCGCGUAGGUGGCCAAUUAAGUCAAAUGUGAAAUCCCCGAGCUUAACUUGGGAAUUGCAUUCGAUACUGGUUGGCUAGAGUAUGGGAGAGGAUGGUAGAAUUCCAGGUGUAGCGGUGAAAUGCGUAGAGAUCUGGAGGAAUACCGAUGGCGAAGGCAGCCAUCUGGCCUAAUACUGACACUGAGGUGCGAAAGCAUGGGGAGCAAAC
rnacentral:rRNA from 1 species